rnacentral:rRNA from 1 species
CGGCAGUGGUACACCUGGUUACAUCCCGAACCCAGUCGUUAAGGCUGCCAGCGCCGAUGGUACUUGGAGGGCGACCUCCCGGGAGAGUAGGUCAUUGCCAAUU